rnacentral:misc_RNA from 1 species
AAGUCGUAACAAGGUAACCGUAGGUGAACCUGCGGUUGGAUCAUUAGUGGUUUUUACGCAGCGCUGUUGUAGUGUUUCUGUGGUGUUUGGUCUUUGGUUUUGGGUGUUGUUGGUUGUUUGUCUGUUUUUGUGCAUUGCCUUGUGCAGUGCCUUGUGCGAUGUCUUGUGCAUUGCCUUGUGCGGUGCCGUGGCAGUACAAACGAUCGACGGCAACAUUCGGACCAGACCCAAGCCCUUGCAGACAAUAGACGUCUUUGCUUGCUUUGAUGAAACCAAAUCAAAAACAACUUUUGACAACGGAUCUCUUGGCUCUC